rnacentral:rRNA from 1 species
UACGUAGGGCGCAAGCGUUGUCCGGAAUUAUUGGGCGUAAAGAGCUCGUAGGUGGCUUGUCGCGUCUGCCGUGAAAGCCCGUGGCUUAACUACGGGUCUGCGGUGGAUACGGGGCAGGCUAGAGGCUGGUAGGGGCAAGCGGAAUUCCUGGUGUAGCGGUGAAAUGCGCAGAUAUCAGGAGGAACACCGGUGGCGAAGGCGGCUUGCUGGGCCAGUUCUGACGCUGGAGGAGCGAAAGCGUGGGGAGCGAACAGG